rnacentral:rRNA from 1 species
ACCGAGAUUCCCCCAGUAGCGGCGAGCGAACGGGGAGCAGCCCAGAGCCUGAAUCAGUGUGUGUGUUAGUGGAAGCGUCUGGAAAGGCGCGCGAUACAGGGUGACAGCCCCGUACACAAAAAUGCACAUGCUGUGAGCUCGAUGAGUAGGGCGGGACACGUGGUAUCCUGUCUGAAUAUGGGGGGACCAUCCUCCAAGGCUAAAUACUCCUGACUGACCGAUAGUGAACCAGUACCGUGAGGGAAAGGCGAAAAGAACCCCGGCGAGGGGAGUGAAAAAGAACCUGAAACCGUGUACGUACAAGCAGUGGGAGCCUCUUUAUGGGGUGACUGCGUACCUUUUGUAUAAUGGGUCAGCGACUUAUAUUCUGUAGCAAGGUUAACCGAAUAGGGGAGCCGAAGGGAAACCGAGUCUUAACUGGGCGUUAAGUUGCAGGGUAUAGACCCGAAACCCGGUGAUCUAGCCAUGGGCAGGUUGAAGGUUGGGUAACACUAACUGGAGGACCGAACCGACUAAUGUUGAAAAAUUAGCGGAUGACUUGUGGCUGGGGGUGAAAGGCCAAUCAAACCGGGAGAUAGCUGGUUCUCCCCGAAAGCUAUUUAGGUAGCGCCUCGUGAAUUCAUCUCCGGGGGUAGAGCACUGUUUCGGCAAGGGGGUCAUCCCGACUUACCAACCCGAUGCAAACUGCGAAUACCGGAGAAUGUUAUCACGGGAGACACACGGCGGGUGCUAACGUCCGUCGUGAAGAGGGAAACAACCCAGACCGCCAGCUAAGGUCCCAAAGUCAUGGUUAAGUGGGAAACGAUGUGGGAAGGCCCAGACAGCCAGGAUGUUGGCUUAGAAGCAGCCAUCAUUUAAAGAAAGCGUAAUAGCUCACUGGUCGAGUCGGCCUGCGCGGAAGAUGUAACGGGGCUAAACCAUGCACCGAAGCUGCGGCAGCGACACUAUGUGUUGUUGGGUAGGGGAGCGUUCUGUAAGCCUGUGAAGGUGUACUGUGAGGUAUGCUGGAGGUAUCAGAAGUGCGAAUGCUGACAUAAGUAACGAUAAAGCGGGUGAAAAGCCCGCUCGCCGGAAGACCAAGGGUUCCUGUCCAACGUUAAUCGGGGCAGGGUGAGUCGACCCCUAAGGCGAGGCCGAAAGGCGUAGUCGAUGGGAAACAGGUUAAUAUUCCUGUACUUGGUGUUACUGCGAAGGGGGGACGGAGAAGGCUAUGUUGGCCGGGCGACGGUUGUCCCGGUUUAAGCGUGUAGGCUGGUUUUCCAGGCAAAUCCGGAAAAUCAAGGCUGAGGCGUGAUGACGAGGCACUACGGUGCUGAAGCAACAAAUGCCCUGCUUCCAGGAAAAGCCUCUAAGCAUCAGGUAACAUCAAAUCGUACCCCAAACCGACACAGGUGGUCAGGUAGAGAAUACCAAGGCGCUUGAGAGAACUCGGGUGAAGGAACUAGGCAAAAUGGUGCCGUAACUUCGGGAGAAGGCACGCUGAUAUGUAGGUGAAGCGACUUGCUCGUGGAGCUGAAAUCAGUCGAAGAUACCAGCUGGCUGCAACUGUUUAUUAAAAACACAGCACUGUGCAAACACGAAAGUGGACGUAUACGGUGUGACGCCUGCCCGGUGCCGGAAGGUUAAUUGAUGGGGUUAGCGGUAACGCGAAGCUCUUGAUCGAAGCCCCGGUAAACGGCGGCCGUAACUAUAACGGUCCUAAGGUAGCGAAAUUCCUUGUCGGGUAAGUUCCGACCUGCACGAAUGGCGUAAUGAUGGCCAGGCUGUCUCCACCCGAGACUCAGUGAAAUUGAACUCGCUGUGAAGAUGCAGUGUACCCGCGGCAAGACGGAAAGACCCCGUGAACCUUUACUAUAGCUUGACACUGAACAUUGAGCCUUGAUGUGUAGGAUAGGUGGGAGGCUUUGAAGUGUGGACGCCAGUCUGCAUGGAGCCGGCCUUGAAAUACCACCCUUUAAUGUUUGAUGUUCUAACGUUGGCCCCUGAUCGGGGUUGCGGACAGUGUCUGGUGGGUAGUUUGACUGGGGCGGUCUCCUCCUAAAGAGUAACGGAGGAGCACGAAGGUUGGCUAAUCCUGGUCGGACAUCAGGAGGUUAGUGCAAUGGCAUAAGCCAGCUUGACUGCGAGCGUGACGGCGCGAGCAGGUGCGAAAGCAGGUCAUAGUGAUCCGGUGGUUCUGAAUGGAAGGGCCAUCGCUCAACGGAUAAAAGGUACUCCGGGGAUAACAGGCUGAUACCGCCCAAGAGUUCAUAUCGACGGCGGUGUUUGGCACCUCGAUGUCGGCUCAUCACAUCCUGGGGCUGAAGUAGGUCCCAAGGGUAUGGCUGUUCGCCAUUUAAAGUGGUACGCGAGCUGGGUUUAGAACGUCGUGAGACAGUUCGGUCCCUAUCUGCCGUGGGCGCUGGAGAACUGAGGGGGGCUGCUCCUAGUACGAGAGGACCGGAGUGGACGCAUCACUGGUGUUCGGGUUGUCAUGCCAAUGGCACUGCCCGGUAGCUAAAUGCGGAAGAGAUAAGUGCUGAAAGCAUCUAAGCACGAAACUUGCCCCGAGAUGAGUUCUCCCUGAGACUUAGAGUCUCCUGAAGGAACGUUGAAGACGACGACGUUGAUAGGCCGGGUGUGUAAGCGCAGCGAUGCGUUGAGCUAACCGGUACUAAUGAACCGUGAGG